UACAGAGGGGGCAAGCGUUAUUCGGAAUUAUUGGGCGUAAAGAGCUCGUAGGCGGUCUGUUGCGUCGGCUGUGAAAACCCGGGGCUCAACUCCGGGCCUGCAGCCGAUACGGGCAGACUAGAGUUCGGCAGGGGAGACUGGAAUUCCUGGUGUAGCGGUGAAAUGCGCAGAUAUCGGGAAGAACACCAGUGGCGAAGGCGCUCUACUGGGCCACAACUGACGCUGAGGGACGAAAGCUAGGGGAGCGAAAGGG
rnacentral:rRNA from 1 species